GAACGCACCUUGCGCUCCUUGGUAUUCCGAGGAGCAUGCCUGUUUGAGUGUCAUUUAAUUCUCAACCUUAUUAGCUUUUGCUGAUAAUGGCUUGGAUGUGGGGGUUCUCUUUUGCUGGCUUCUUUUCACAGAGGUCAGCUCCCCUGAAAUGCAUUAGCUGGUGCCCCGCGUGGACUGUCUAUUUGGUGUGAUAAUUAUCAACGCCGUGGAUGUCUGCAAUUGGUUUUGGCACUGCUUCUAACUGUCUGUUCAUUUGGACAACACAUGACAAUUUGACCUCAAAUCAGGUAGGACUACCCGCUGAACUUA
rnacentral:misc_RNA from 1 species